rnacentral:rRNA from 1 species
UACGAAGGGGGCGAGCGUUGUUCGGAUUUACUGGGCGUAAAGGGCGCGCAGGCGGCCAUCUUUGUCAGGCGUGAAAGCCCCGGGCUCAACCUGGGAGGUGCGCUUGGGACGGGAUGGCUUGAGAUCGGGAGAGGAGCGUGGAAUUCCCAGUGUAGAGGUGAAAUUCGUAGAUAUUGGGAAGAACACCGGUGGCGAAGGCGGCGCUCUGGACCGAGACUGAGCGCGUGAGGCGGCGAAAGCGUUGGGGAGCAACAGG